AUUCCAUAUUUCUUUUCCCUUUAGGCUUAUCUAACGUGCAGCCAAUAGAGAGGAAGCUGGUGAAAAUCACUUUGUCCACAUCAGCUUCCUCACUGAACCUGGAAGAAUCACAGGAUGCCAUCUUGCAGCAGCUUCGCAGCAAACUGCCGGAGAACGGACUCGGGGAUUUAAAGCUGAGGUGGAUAAAGCAGUCUGACGGAAAGACGUUCCACUUGAAGAAAAAA